rnacentral:sRNA from 1 species
GUCCAGGAUGCGGCGGACCAGACCCAAAAGCUUAUCAAGAUCAAAACUGCUGCCGGCCAAUAUCGCGAAGUCAUCAUCGCGAGGCCGGCAGC